GGUUAAGCGACUAAGCGUACACGGUGGAUGCCCUGGCAGUCAGAGGCGAUGAAGGACGUGCUAAUCUGCGAAAAGCGCCGGCGAGGUGAUAUGAACCCUUGACCCGGCGAUGUCCGAAUGGGGAAACCCAGUGCAAUCCGUUGCACUAUCGUUAACUGAAUACAUAGGUUAACGAGGCGAACCGGGGGAACUGAAACAUCUAAGUACCCCGAGGAAAAGAAAUCAACCGAGAUUCCCCCAGUAGCGGCGAGCGAACGGGGAGCAGCCCGGAGUCUGAAUCAGCUUGUGUGUUAGUGGAACGGUCUGGAAAGUCCGACGGUACAGGGUGAUAGUCCCGUACACGAAAAUGCACAUGCUGUGAACUCGAAGAGUAGGGCGGGACACGUGGUAUCCUGUCUGAAUAUGGGGGGACCAUCCUCCAAGGCUAAAUACUCCUGACUGACCGAUAGUGAACCAGUACCGUGAGGGAAAGGCGAAAAGAACCCCGGCGAGGGGAGUGAAAAAGAACCUGAAACCGUGUACGUACAAGCAGUGGGAGCCUCUUUAUGGGGUGACUGCGUACCUUUUGUAUAAUGGGUCAGCGACUUAUAUUCUGUAGCAAGGUUAACCGUAUAGGGGAGCCGAAGGGAAACCGAGUCUUAACUGGGCGUUAAGUUGCAGGGUAUAGACCCGAAACCCGGUGAUCUAGCCAUGGGCAGGUUGAAGGUUGGGUAACACUAACUGGAGGACCGAACCGACUAAUGUUGAAAAAUUAGCGGAUGACCUGUGGCUGGGGGUGAAAGGCCAAUCAAACCGGGAGAUAGCUGGUUCUCCCCGAAAGCUAUUUAGGUAGCGCCUCGUGAACUCAUCUUCGGGGGUAGAGCACUGUUUCGGCUAGGGGGCCAUCCCGGCUUACCAACCCGAUGCAAACUACGAAUACCGAAGAAUGUUAUCACGGGAGACACACGGCGGGUGCUAACGUCCGUCGUGAAGAGGGAAACAACCCAGACCGCCAGCUAAGGUCCCAAAGUCAUGGUUAAGUGGGAAACGAUGUGGGAAGGCACAGACAGCCAGGAUGUUGGCUUAGAAGCAGCCAUCAUUUAAAGAAAGCGUAAUAGCUCACUGGUCGAGUCGGCCUGCGCGGAAGAUGUAACGGGGCUAAACCAUGCACCGAAGCUGCGGCAGCGACACUAUGUGUUGUUGGGUAGGGGAGCGUUCUGUAAGCCGUUGAAGGUGUGCUGUGAGGCAUGCUGGAGGUAUCAGAAGUGCGAAUGCUGACAUAAGUAACGAUAAAGCGGGUGAAAAGCCCGCUCGCCGGAAGACCAAGGGUUCCUGUCCAACGUUAAUCGGGGCAGGGUGAGUCGACCCCUAAGGCGAGGCCGAAAGGCGUAGUCGAUGGGAAACAGGUUAAUAUUCCUGUACUUGGUGUUACUGCGAAGGGGGGACGGAGAAGGCUAUGUCAGCCGGGCGACGGUUGUCCCGGUUUAAGCAUGUAGGCGGAGGUUCCAGGUAAAUCCGGUACCUUAUUAACGCUGAGGUGUGAUGACGAGGCACUACGGUGCUGAAGUGAUAAAUGCCCUGCUUCCAGGAAAAGCCUCUAAGCAUCAGGUAACACGAAAUCGUACCCCAAACCGACACAGGUGGUCAGGUAGAGAAUACCAAGGCGCUUGAGAGAACUCGGGUGAAGGAACUAGGCAAAAUGGUGCCGUAACUUCGGGAGAAGGCACGCUGAUGUGUAGGUGAAGCCCCUGCGGGUGGAGCUGAAAUCAGUCGAAGAUACCAGCUGGCUGCAACUGUUUAUUAAAAACACAGCACUGUGCAAACACGAAAGUGGACGUAUACGGUGUGACGCCUGCCCGGUGCCGGAAGGUUAAUUGAUGGGGUUAGCGGCAACGCGAAGCUCUUGAUCGAAGCCCCGGUAAACGGCGGCCGUAACUAUAACGGUCCUAAGGUAGCGAAAUUCCUUGUCGGGUAAGUUCCGACCUGCACGAAUGGCGUAAUGAUGGCCAGGCUGUCUCCACCCGAGACUCAGUGAAAUUGAACUCGCUGUGAAGAUGCAGUGUACCCGCGGCAAGACGGAAAGACCCCGUGAACCUUUACUAUAGCUUGACACUGAACACUGGUCCUUGAUGUGUAGGAUAGGUGGGAGGCUUUGAAGCGUGGACGCCAGUCUGCGUGGAGCCAACCUUGAAAUACCACCCUUUAAUGGCUGGUGUUCUAACGUAGACCCGUAAUCCGGGUUGCGGACAGUGUCUGGUGGGUAGUUUGACUGGGGCGGUCUCCUCCCAAAGAGUAACGGAGGAGCACGAAGGUUGGCUAAUCCUGGUCGGACAUCAGGAGGUUAGUGCAAUGGCAUAAGCCAGCUUGACUGCGAGCGUGACGGCGCGAGCAGGUGCGAAAGCAGGUCAUAGUGAUCCGGUGGUUCUGAAUGGAAGGGCCAUCGCUCAACGGAUAAAAGGUACUCCGGGGAUAACAGGCUGAUACCGCCCAAGAGUUCAUAUCGACGGCGGUGUUUGGCACCUCGAUGUCGGCUCAUCACAUCCUGGGGCUGAAGUAGGUCCCAAGGGUAUGGCUGUUCGCCAUUUAAAGUGGUACGCGAGCUGGGUUUAGAACGUCGUGAGACAGUUCGGUCCCUAUCUGCCGUGGGCGCUGGAGAAUUGAGGGGGGCUGCUCCUAGUACGAGAGGACCGGAGUGGACGCAUCACUGGUGUUCGGGUUGUCAUGCCAAUGGCACUGCCCGGUAGCUAAAUGCGGAAGAGAUAAGUGCUGAAAGCAUCUAAGCACGAAACUUGCCCCGAGAUGAGUUCUCCCUGAGACUUUAAGUCUCCUGAAGGAACGUUGAAGACGACGACGUUGAUAGGUCGGGUGUGUAAGCGCAGCGAUGCGUUGAGCUAACCGAUACUAAUGAACCGUGAGGCUUAACCUU
rnacentral:rRNA from 1 species